rnacentral:tRNA from 1 species
UUCUUAAUAAUUUACCUAAAAUAUCUACUUUGGAUGUAGAAAAUUUCAAAAU